rnacentral:misc_RNA from 1 species
AUGCGUGUCUGUGUGGUUGGCGCCGGGGCUUCUGGCCUGCCAGCCAUCAAGGCCUGUAUUGAAGAAGGGCUUGAUGUUGUGUGUUUUGAGAAAACUGCUGAUAUUGGAGGACUAUGGAAUUACAGACCUGGACAGAAAGACGUAGAUCGGAGGAACCGUAAUGGAGAGCACAGUAGUAAAUACCUCAAAGGAAAUGAUGGCCUACUCGGAUUUCCCUCCUCCAGCAGAAUUCGCUAAUUUCAUGCAUCACACGAAAGUCAUCGAAUACAUCAAAAGUUACGCAGAGCAUUUCGGACUCAUGGACAAAAUCCGGUUCAAUACCCCAGUGAAAAGAAUUUCAAGAAAUGAACAGAACAAGUAUAUUGUCAGCUUGCAAAAUGGAGAAAUUGAAGAGUUUGAAAAGUUGAUUUUGUGCACAGGUCAUCAUGCAGAACCAUCUUAUCCAGAAUUGAAAAAUUUGGAUAAUUUUAAAGGCAAAGUCGUACAUGCUUAUGACUACACAAACACUUCAGGAUAUGAAGGAAAAGACGUUUUUCUUCUCGGCAUCGGAAAUUCUGCUCUUGAUAUUGCAGUUGAUAUUGCCAAAAUUGCGAAAUCAGUCACAAUUUCUACCCGAAGAGGAACAUGGAUUUUCAACCGUGUCAGUCAAGGGGGCAUGCCAUAUGAUGUUCAGCUCUUCUCCAGAUAUUAUGACACACUUCUGAAAACAAUCCCUCAUGCAGUUGCCAAUGACUUCAUGGAGUAUCGUCUCCAACAAAGAAUGGAUCACGAUGUCUAUGGUCUGCGUCCAGAUCACAGAUUUUUCCAACAACAUCCUACUGUAAAUGAUGCACUCGCAAAUCUUUUGUGUGCUGGAUAUAUCACAAUCACAGAAGAUAUUGAUACAUUCACUGAGAACAGUGUUAUUGUGAAGGGAGGCAGAGAAUUCAAGUGUGACAUAUUUUUGACAUGCACUGGAUACACAUUUGGUUUUCCAUUUGUUGAUUCGGAUAUUGUAGAAAUCAAGAACCAACAAGUUCCUCUGUACAAAUAUGUAUUUCCACCAAACAGUGACAGUGUUGCAGUCAUCGGGCUCAUUCAACCAAUUGGAUCAAUUGCUCCAAUUUCUGAAAUCCAAAGUAGAUGGGCUGCCAGAGUAUUUGCAGGAAGAUGCCAACUUCCAUCAAGUCAAGAACAAAUCGAUGAUAUUCAGAAAAAGAAGGCAGCAAUGAAGAAACGAUAUUUUGAUAGUAUCAAGCACACGAUUCAAGUGGAUUAUAUGAGUUAUAUGGACGAAAUUGCGGAGAUUAUUGGAUGUUUACCGCCAAUGAAGCAUUAUCUGUUCUUUUAUCCUAGAUUCUGGAUGAAACUUUUCAUGGGGGCAAAUGUACCAUAUGCCUAUAGAUUGGUUGGACCACAUGCAUGGGAAGGUGCAGAGCAAGCUAUUUGGACAGUUUCUGAAAGAGUCAAGAAGCCACUGAAAAACAGACAAUGCAGGAUUAGGAAGCAUAAGAAGAGAGGGUCUACGGACGAAUACUUCCGAUAUGCGACUCAAAAAGUGAUUGCCACAAACAUUUCAAUUCUAUUCUGCUCCGGUCUUCUUCUAUACUGCUCCACAACAUCAACACUUCCUCCAGCUGUUUAUUUCUUCUCAUUCUUCCUUUUCUUUACUCUUUACGGUGCAACACUAAUGUGGUUUGACCUACAAUAUGACAUGACCACAAUCUUCUAG